rnacentral:tRNA from 1 species
UGGGAUAUAGCUCAGUGGUAGAGUGCUUGCUUAGCAUAUAUGAGGCCCUAGGUUCAAUCCCCAGUAGUCAAA